rnacentral:rRNA from 1 species
UGGGGAAUUUUCCGCAAUGGGCGAAAGCCUGACGGAGCAAUACCGCGUGAGGGAGGAAGGCUUUUGGGUUGUAAACCUCUUUUCUUAGGGAAGAAGAAAGUGACGGUACCUAAGGAAUCAGCAUCGGCUAACUCCGUGCCAGCAGCCGCGGUAAUACGUAGGGUGCAAGCGUUGUCCGGAAUUAUUGGGCGUAAAGAGCUCGUAGGCGGUCUGUCGCGUCUGCUGUGAAAGUUCGGGGCUCAACCCCGGAACUGCAGUGGGUACGGGCAGACUAGAGUGCGGUAGAGGAGACUGGAAUUCCUGGUGUAGCGGUGGAAUGCGCAGAUAUCAGGAGGAACACCAGUGGCGAAGGCGGGUCUCUGGGCCGCAACUGACGCUGAGGAGCGAAAGCGUGGGGAGCGAACAGGAUUAGAUACCCCCGUAGUCC